GACGAACGCUGGCGGCGUGCUUAACACAUGCAAGUCGAACGGAAAGGCCCUUCUUUUGUGGGGUGCUCGAGUGGCGAACGGGUGAGUAACACGUGAGUAACCUGCCCUUGACUUUGGGAUAACUUCAGGAAACUGGGUCUAAUACCGGAUCUGAGCUCCUACUGCAUGGUGGGGGUUGGAAAGUUUCGGCGGUUGGGGAUGGACUCGCGGCUUAUCAGCUUGUUGGUGGGGUAGUGGCUUACCAAGGCUUUGACGGGUAGCCGGCCUGAGAGGGUGGCCGGCGACAUUGGGACUGAGAGACGGACCAGACGCCUACGGGAGGCAGCAGUGGGGAAUAUUGAACAAUGGGCGGAAGCCUGAUGCAGCAACGCUGCGUGCGGGAUGACGGCCUUCGGGGUGUAAACCGCUUUCGCCUGUGACGAAGCGUGAGUGACGGUAAUGGGUAAAGAAGCACCGGCUAACUACGUG
rnacentral:rRNA from 1 species